GUAUGAGUGAAGCUGGAAUCUUCUUCCACUCCUCCAUGAUGACAUCACUGGUCCUCCACCUUCUUCAGACGGCUGCACCUUCUUCAUGUAUGUUUAUUUCUACACAUUUUCUUUUGAAGCUGGUGGAAACGUGUAUGAGUUGUUUAUGGUGUCUUUCCUCCCAUGUACAUUAUUCCAUUUCAAGUUUCCUUGCUACUCAUCAAAAGCUUUUAUUUUGCUGCCAAGAUGUGAUUAUGAUGACAACCUCUCCAAAGUGAAGCCACAUGUAGCAUGGCGAAGAGGACGGUGACAUGGGCAUCAUUCCAUUCACUUCAUAUGCCUUUUUGGACAGGAUCACCUAUCAUGAACUUGCCGUCUUUGCUAAGUCGUCACAUCAAUGCAAAUUAUAAGUUUGGCGAAUCGAUAGCACUGUGACUAGAAGAGAUUCAUCAUACGAAACACAUCUGCAUCUGGUUCUCUGAACUUUAUUCAGGAUUUGUAUGCUCAUUUUUCUUUCUUAAAAAAAAUAAUUGUCAAGUGUGUUAAUAUUGUACAUGUUAUCAUUCCAGUUACACUAUCAUGAGGCAUUGCUUUGUUAAUUCCGUCCGACAAUUAAAUUUCUUGCUGCCUGCUGUGUUGUGUCUUUCAAGUUCUUGAGGUACGAAAAAAAUGUCAGCAAACUCACCAAAUUUCCUCCGCGAGCUUGAAAUGUGACACAAGAGCGGCUCGGAGAGAGGCCCCAAACUGGCAGAUGACCUAAAUUCAACAAUGAAAUGAAGCACAUGCUUGGAAAAUGGUAGCGGGGGGUGC